rnacentral:rRNA from 1 species
AAAUUGAAGAGUUUGAUCAUGGCUCAGAUUGAACGCUGGCGGCAGGCCUAACACAUGCAAGUCGAGCGGUAGCACAGAGAGCUUGCUCUCGGGUGACGAGCGGCGGACGGGUGAGUAAUGUCUGGGAAACUGCCUGAUGGAGGGGGAUAACUACUGGAAACGGUAGCUAAUACCGCAUAAUGUCGCAAGACCAAAGUGGGGGACCUUCGGGCCUCAUGCCAUCAGAUGUGCCCAGAUGGGAUUAGCUAGUAGGUGGGGUAACGGCUCACCUAGGCGACGAUCCCUAGCUGGUCUGAGAGGAUGACCAGCCACACUGGAACUGAGACACGGUCCAGACUCCUACGGGAGGCAGCAGUGGGGAAUAUUGCACAAUGGGCGCAAGCCUGAUGCAGCCAUGCCGCGUGUGUGAAGAAGGCCUUCGGGUUGUAAAGCACUUUCAGCGGGGAGGAAGGCGGUAAGGUUAAUAACCUCAUCGAUUGACGUUACCCGCAGAAGAAGCACCGGCUAACUCCGUGCCAGCAGCCGCGGUAAUACGGAGGGUGCAAGCGUUAAUCGGAAUUACUGGGCGUAAAGCGCACGCAGGCGGUCUGUCAAGUCGGAUGUGAAAUCCCCGGGCUCAACCUGGGAACUGCAUUCGAAACUGGCAGGCUAGAGUCUUGUAGAGGGGGGUAGAAUUCCAGGUGUAGCGGUGAAAUGCGUAGAGAUCUGGAGGAAUACCGGUGGCGAAGGCGGCCCCCUGGACAAAGACUGACGCUCAGGUGCGAAAGCGUGGGGAGCAAACAGGAUUAGAUACCCUGGUAGUCCACGCCGUAAACGAUGUCGAUUUGGAGGUUGUGCCCUUGAGGCGUGGCUUCCGGAGCUAACGCGUUAAAUCGACCGCCUGGGGAGUACGGCCGCAAGGUUAAAACUCAAAUGAAUUGACGGGGGCCCGCACAAGCGGUGGAGCAUGUGGUUUAAUUCGAUGCAACGCGAAGAACCUUACCUGGUCUUGACAUCCACAGAACUUUCCAGAGAUGGAUUGGUGCCUUCGGGAACUGUGAGACAGGUGCUGCAUGGCUGUCGUCAGCUCGUGUUGUGAAAUGUUGGGUUAAGUCCCGCAACGAGCGCAACCCUUAUCCUUUGUUGCCAGCGGUUAGGCCGGGAACUCAAAGGAGACUGCCAGUGAUAAACUGGAGGAAGGUGGGGAUGACGUCAAGUCAUCAUGGCCCUUACGACCAGGGCUACACACGUGCUACAAUGGCAUAUACAAAGAGAAGCGACCUCGCGAGAGCAAGCGGACCUCAUAAAGUAUGUCGUAGUCCGGAUUGGAGUCUGCAACUCGACUCCAUGAAGUCGGAAUCGCUAGUAAUCGUAGAUCAGAAUGCUACGGUGAAUACGUUCCCGGGCCUUGUACACACCGCCCGUCACACCAUGGGAGUGGGUUGCAAAAGAAGUAGGUAGCUUAACCUUCGGGAGGGCGCUUACCACUUUGUGAUUCAUGACUGGGGUGAAGUCGUAACAAGGUAACCGUAGGGGAACCUGCGGUUGGAUCACCUCCUUA